rnacentral:rRNA from 1 species
CUAUUUGGGAAGAUUCUAUCGGCGCUGGGAAUGGGGUCGCGCUCCUAUCAGCCUUGUUGGUGAGGUAACGGCUCACCAAGGCUUCGACGGGUAGCCGGCCUGAGAGGGCGACCGGCCACAUUGGGACUGAGAUACGGCCCAGACUCCUACGGGAGGCAGCAGUGGGGAAUAUUGCACAAUGGGCGCAAGCCUGAUGCAGCGACGCCGCGUGAGGGAUGGAGGCCUUCGGGUUGUAAACCUCUUUUGUUUGGGAGCAAGCCUUCGGGUGAGUGUACCUUUCGAAUAAGCGCCGGCUAACUACGUGCCAGCAGCCGCGGUAAUACGUAGGGCGCAAGCGUUAUCCGGAUUUAUUGGGCGUAAAGGGCUCGUAGGCGGCUCGUCGCGUCCGGUGUGAAAGUCCAUCGCUUAACGGUGGAUCUGCGCCGGGUACGGGCGGGCUGGAGUGCGGUAGGGGAGACUGGAAUUCCCGGUGUAACGGUGGAAUCGGAU